rnacentral:lncRNA from 1 species
ACAUAUUAUGUAUGCAAAUAUAAACCUAAAAACAUAAUUCUGUAUGCAAGAUCACAUCUAAACAUACAACCAUAGAUCAUAUCUACACUAUAUAUCAUAUGUAUAUCAAGUAUGAGUUCAGAACUUGAUACCUUAGCAUGGAUAGCAUAUCUCUACAUCUGAAAAUCAUGAUCUUGCUGGUUGCUCACAGUCGCAUAGGAUGUCCGACCUCUAUAGGUGAUCCACUCGAAGCAUCGCAUUGAUCAGCUUCUGUGAGAGUGCUAGCUUGCAUAGAAACUUAUAGAUGGCUGAUCUUCUCCUCUUAUGGAUCUCUUGGACUCCUCCAAAAUUGUAGUAAGAAUAAGAAGGAACUGGUGAUGGAAUGAUGGAUGGAGAACUCUCUUCUCUUUCGACCUUUUCCUCAUCCAAAAAUCUUAGAACAGAUUUCUAGGAUGCUCACC